UAACCGUAGAUUGGCAGCACCUGCGCGUCUGUUUCCGAGGCCCCGCCUCCCGAUGAUGUAACAAUCUCUUCGCGCAUGUUCACAGUCUCCGGGUGGACGGUGUUAUCCUCUCCGCUCAGAGCUGAAGUGGGUCGGCUGUGUGUUCGGGAAAGACUUUCGUCUCUUCCGUCGGGAUCACUGUCUGCGGGCCGAAGAUAUCACUUUCCCAUCGUUAGACCUGCAGUGAGAGAUUUAUUGGAAGAAAAACCACGACUGAAGACGAGGGAACAGCAACAAGUGAACCAGCCCGAGGACUGAGAGCACCGACUGGAGAGAACCCAUCUGACUCGGAGAUUCCAGUGAUUCAGUCAGGAGAAAGUUUGGGCUAUGCGUUAAGAAUCUUGCCGGCGCUGAAGCGCCGAUGAAAUGCCCUGGCAUCAGGCUGAGGACGUCCCCGAGUAUCACGCAUGCGUGUAGUACACUGAAGGCCUUGAAAAUGUCGGGUGCAGGAACUGGCAUCAAACCGACGGACCGAGCGGUCUCCGACCUCUCGGCGACACAUCAGACUCCGGCCGCAGGAGACGCUUCACAAACGCCCCAACAUCCCUUGGAGGGAAAUGGACAUAAAUCAAAAAACGGACAUUUAUUCCGCUGUGAUGUGGAGUUUGAGGCCGGAGCGGGAGGCGAAAUCAGUGGGGGUAACGCCCUCUGGACGUCCACCUCUGCGACUGGUGGUAACAAGUGAUUGGCAUCGCUUUGCACCAAUGGGAAUAGCACAGCCCUUGAAUCCUCUGUUGACAGCGGUGGGGGUGGGCUGGUCACGUGAUUAUUAGCCCAGCUAUUAAACUGAUAAAGCCCGAGCUCAGCAGAGCAUGGAUGACGUAAGACGCUGCGCACGUAAGGGCAGAUCCCGGUGUGGGAAGCCCAUGCGUGACGUUAGGCACGAGGGGGUUCUGUGUGACGUCACCUGUGGGGAUGCGCUCGCAUUUAAAUGCACCUUAAUGUGCGUUUCUUAUGAUUUCAGAGGGACAACAUUAAUCACGGGUUUCAUUACCGAAUCCAGUGUGAGAUGUAAAGCCCCCUGUAAUGUGUCCGGCAUAUCCCUUUUGAUUUAUUUGUGUGUGGAAAUUAGCAGUCCCCACUGUGAACUGACUGGUGCGCCAGUAGUUGUGAUGGCCGAGUGAAUCCUAUCCCACAGUCUAAGCAGGUGAACGGCUUCUCCCCAGUGUGAAAUCGCUGAUGACUCUGUAGGCUGGAUAACUGAGUGAAUCCCUUCCCACAGACUGAGCAGGUGAAUGGCCUCUCCCCAGUGUGAACUCGCUGGUGUGUCUGUAGGGUGGAUGACUGAGUGAAUCCCUUCCCACAGACUGAGCAGGUGAAUGGCCUCUCCCCAGUGUGAACUCGCUGGUGUCUCUGUAGGGUGGAUGACCGAGUGAAUCCCUUCCCACAUACUGUGCAGGUGAAUGGCUUCUCCCCAGUGUGAACUCGCCAGUGACUCAGUAGGGUGGAUGACCGACUAGAGUGAAUCUCUAGAUGAGACUAGAAUUCGGGGACAUCGCCUCAAGAUUCAGGAGAGAAGAGUUAGGACGGAGACGAAGAGAAACAGUUUUUCCCACAGAGUGGUGAAUCUGUGGACUUCUCUGUCCAGGGAAGCAGCUGAGGUUUCCUCACGAAGUAUAUUUAAGAUACGGUUAGAUAGGAUUUUGCAGAAUAAGGUAAUGAAGGGUUAUAGGGAAAAGGCAGGUAGAUGGACCUGAGUUUCCUGACGGAUCAGCCAUGAUCUUAUUGCAUGGCGGGGCAUACUCAGUGGGCCAAUGGCCGACUCCUGCUCCCAUUUCUUAUGUUCUGACGUGCGGCCUGAGUAGUGUCUUGUAAAGUAUCAGCAUUAUCUCCUUGCUAAUAUAUUCUACUUCACUUUAAAUAAAGCCAGCAUUGUAUUUGCCUUCUUUACCACAGACUCAACCCGGAAGUUAAUCUUCUGGGAGUCUUGCCCAAGGUCCUGGUGGCGUAGUGACGUCAGCGCCGGACUCCGUAACGGAGGUCCCCGGGUUCGAAUACAGUCGGGCCUCUCCUGAGUACGCUUUCCAUCCGUGCCGGGUUGAGUGUUGAGCUCGCAAUUCGACCUCAUAAAGAUACUGUGAAAUGUCUGUGUGAGGAGAAGUGCCCCACACAACCUUACGAUCCGCGCCUUGUAAGGCAUGAAAAUGUCCGACACUGCCCUGAGUCAGUCCUGAGUUGACGACAUCA